rnacentral:rRNA from 1 species
GAUGAACGCUAGCUACAGGCUUAACACAUGCAAGUCGAGGGACCGGCGCACGGGUGAGUAACACGUAUCAAACCUGCCCUUUACUCGGGGAUAGCCUUUCGAAAGAAAGAUUAAUACCCGAUAUAAAGGAUGGGGAUGCGUUCAAUUAGGUUGUUGGUGAGGUAACGGCUCACCAAGCCUUCGAUGGAUAGGGGUUCUGAGAGGAAGGUCCCCCACAUUGGAACGGAGGUACGGACCAAACUCCUACGGAGGGCAGCAGUGAGGAAUAUUGGGCAAGGGGCGUUAGCGUGAACCAGCCAAGUAGCGUGAAGGAUGAAGGCUUAUGGGUCGUAAACUUCUUUUAAAUAAGAAUAUUUAUUAUAUGAAUAAGGAUCGGCUAACUCCGUGCCAGCCGCCGCGGUAAUUC